AGCCAGCACCUCAAGUGGUCAGGAUGAUUAUUGGGCCUAAAGCAUCCGUAGCUCGUUUUGUAAGUUUUCGGUUAAAUCCAUGCGCUUAACGUAUGGGCUGCCGGGAAUACUGCAUAACUAGGAAGUGGGAGAGGUAGACGGUACUCGGUAGGAAGGGGUAAAAUCCUUUGAUCUAUCGAUGACCACCUGUGGCGAAAGCGGUCUACCAGAACACGUUCGACGGUGAGGGAUGAAAGCUGGGGGAGCAAACCGGAUUAGAUACCCGGGUAGUCCCAGCUGUAAACUAUGCAAACUCAGUGAUGCAUUGGCUUGUGGCCAAUGCAGUGCUGCAGGGAAGCCGUUAAGUUUGCCGCCUGGGAAGUACGUACGCAAGUAUGAAACUUAAAGGAAUUGGCGGGGGAGCACCACAAGGGGUGAAGCCUGCGGUUCAAUUGGAGUCAACGCCAGAAAUCUUACCCGGAGAGACAGCAGAAUGAAGGUCAAGCUGAAGACUUUACCAGACAAGCUGAGAGGUGGUGCAUGGCCGUCGCCAGCUCGUGCCGUGAGAUGUCCUGUUAAGUCAGGUAACGAGCGAGAUCCCUGCCUCUAGUUGCCACCAUUACUCUCAGGAGUAGUGGGGCGAAUUAGCGGGACCGCCGCAGUUAAUGCGGAGGAAGGAGGGGGCCACGGCAGGUCAGUAUGCCCCGAAACUCUGGGGCCACACGCGGGCUGCAAUGUAGUGACAAUUGGUUCCGAAUCCGAAAGGAGGAGGUAAUCCUCAAACGCUACCACAGUUAUGACUGAGGGCUGCAACUCGCCCUCACGAAUAUGGAAUCCCUAGUAACUGCGUGUCAUUAUCGCGCGGUGAAUACGUCCCUGCUCCUUGCACACACCGCCCGUCGUUUCAUUGAAGUUUGCUUUUAGCGAGGUGACGUCUGAUUGGCGUUAUCGAACUUGAGGUAAGUGACAAGGGAA
rnacentral:rRNA from 1 species